rnacentral:rRNA from 1 species
UACAGAGGGUGCAAGCGUUAAUCGGAUUUACUGGGCGUAAAGGGUGCGUAGGUGGUUGCGUAAGUGAGAUGUGAAAUCCCCGGGCUUAACCUGGGAACUGCGUCUUAUACUGCGUGGCUGGAGUACAUGAGAGGGUAGUGGAAUUUCCGGUGUAGCGGUGAAAUGCGUAGAUAUCGGAAGGAACACCAGUGGCGAAGGCGGCUACCUGGCAUGAUACUGACACUGAGGCACGAGAGCGUGGGGAGCAAACAGGAUUAGAUACCCUGGUAGUCCACGCUGUAAACGAUGAAAACUAGAUGUUGGGCAGCUUAGACUGUUCGGUAUCGAAGCUAACGCGAUAAGUUUUCCGCCUGGGGAGUACGGUCGCAAGAUUA